UCACGACAGCGAGCAAACAGGAAGGAACACCAAGGAUACCGGGUUGUAGGUAUGAAACAGGUGACCGACCAAAGCGUGAAUUAGUUUGUUUUCCAAAACACUCAACAUCCUGAAGAGGGCUAGAAAAGCAGUCUUGUUAGAGGAUGGACAUUCGACUCCACAAGGAAUACGAGUCUUACUCGACUGGGGAGGACAAAACUUCGAC
rnacentral:lncRNA from 1 species